rnacentral:rRNA from 1 species
CAGUAAAGCAAAGGAAGCUGAUUGGCUGGAUCCCUCCGGGUUCACAAAACCGACCGACCUUGAUCUUAAAGGAAGGGUUAAGUGUGAGCAUGCCUGUCGGGACCGAAAGAUGGUGAACUAUGCUUGAGGCGAGGCAGCGGAGAAAACUCUGGUGGAGGCCAGCAUUUAUACUGGCGUGCAAAUCGUUAGAUGGAGACUUGGGUAUAAGGCCCGAAGACUAGUGAACCAUCUAGUAGCUGGUUCCUUCCGAAGGAUUUCCCUCGGGAUAGCUGGGCUCGAAAAACGAGUUAUAUUGGGUAAAACCAAUGAUUAGAGGCAUCGUGGGCGCAAUGUCCUCGACCUAUUCUCAAACUUAAAAUAGGUAGGACCGGGGUGGCUGCUUUGUUGAACCAUCCACCGGAAUCGAGAGGUCCGAGUGGGACAUUUUGGUAAGCAGAACUGGCGUCUGGGAUGAACCGGAAGCGGGUUACGUCUGCCUACUGCGCUAGCGUAGAGCCCACAAAGGGUGUUGGUUGAUUAAGACAGCAAGGCGGUGGUCAGGAAAGCCGAAAUCCACUAAGGAGUGUGUAACAACUCCGUGCGAGAAUCAACUAGCCCGAAAAUGGAUGGCUGAAAGCUGUGCGUGACCUAUACCGGCCGUUGGGGCAAGAUCCAGGCCUCGAUGAGUAGGAGGGUGCAGCGGUGUUUCAAAAACCUAAAGGCGUGAGCCGAGCCGGAUUAACCGUCGGUGCAGAUCUUGGUGGUAGUAGCAAAUAUUCAAAUGAGAACUUUGAAGGCCAAAGGGAAAGGUUCCAUGUGAGCGGCACUUGCACAUGGGUUAGUCGAUCGUAAAAAUUAGCGAACCCGUCUGAUGGCGCUUAUGUGCAAAACUUGAAGAGUUGGUUAAAAUUCCGGGCCGGGAUGUGGCGGUUGAUGGCGUUAGAAAAAGUCCGGAGGCGUGGCGAAUUCGGUCGGAAAGAGUUAUCUUUUCUGUUUAACAGCCUGCCCACCCUGAAGCGGCUCAAUAGGAGGUAGAGUCCAGCAGUUGGAAGACCACCACGUCGCGUGGUGUCGGUGCAUUCCAGGUGGCCCGAAAAUCAGAGGACCGAGGUGCUGCUCGCGCCCGGUCGUGGUACUCAUAACGCAUCAGGUCUCCAAAUGAACAGCCUCUGGUCGAUGGAACAAUAUGGCAUGGGAUGUGAGAAAAUGGAUCCGUAACCCGGGAAAAAGGAGGCUCACGAGGGCUGAACUGGGGUCCCAGUUCCGAACCCCAUCGACUGUUGGUGGGCUGCUUGAGCUGCUAACAUGGCGAGAAGCGGACCGCUAAAUGUUGGCAGCGGGGACGGACUGAGCAGCUCUUUUAGGAUCUUUCCCGGGGUACAGCCAACUUCAGAACUGAAUGCGGGACAAGGGGAAUCCAGUUUGAAUUAAAACAAAACAUUGUGAUGGUCCCCCCGGAUGCUAGCAGCAAUGUGAUUUCUGCCAAGUGCUCUGAAUGUCAAAGUAAAGAAAUUCAACCAAAGCCCCAGAUGCGGCGAGAAUGCUAUGACUCUCUUAAGGUAGCCAAAUGCCUGUCAUCUAGUUGGUGGCGUGCAUGAAUGGAUUAACGAGGAUUCCCUGUCCCUGUCUACUAUCCCGAAAACAAGCCAAAGAACAGGCCCUUGGCAGAAUCAGCCAGAGGAAAAGAUGUAGCAUCCCAGAUCCUGGAUAGGAUUGUCCAGGACAAACAACUGUCGAGGAGGCACGCACCAGUCAGGUCACAUGACCUAAAGACAAGCGUGUCAUGGGUCCAAACUCGUAUUUAAAGGGAAUCAGGUAGCUGGAACUUAGCAAAAUACAAGCACAUCUGACUCAAAGGGAGCUGGAAAAGCCAAGCUGGUAGCUGGGGCGAGAUCCGGUGGCUUCGAUGGUGGGUUGAGUGAUCAGGAAUCAGAUCACAGGAAAACUAAGUCUAGGUGCAUGCGUAGACCAAGGGACUUAGAAAGUUGAAGAAGAUAAAGGAUGCAAAACGGACACUGGAUGCAGUAAGCAAGCUCGACCAGCUAGGUGAAGUGUGGUGCAGCUCCAUGUAGCUCCCUUGAGUGUGGAGUCAGCUCCUGGCGCUGGAUGGUCCCAACUCACUCAGCUGGGUCAGUGGGGAUCAGCUCAACUCAAGCUGGACUGAGUGGCUGAAGUCGAAAGUCAUGGGCAGUUGGGCGGGAUCUGGACAGAAACCCUAAGGCCAUGUAUGGGUGACCGUGUGUACCGAUGGGCUGGUUGGUUCUUAGGAUUGAGCCAGGAGCUUGAGGAAAUCCGUGUGGGCUUUUUUUUGGACGUCUGGUAACUGCACCUAAGAGAAAGGUGUGAUCCCUGGACCAUUGAUUAAAUCAAUGGCCAGAAAUGUCUGAAAAGGUGCAACCUUUGGAAAGGUAACUACCCUUCUUUU